GACGAACCGUACAAACGUUAUUCGGAAUCACUGGGCUUAAAGGGUGCGUAGGCGGCGCGGAAAGUUGGGUGUGAAAUCCCUCGGCUCAACCGAGGAACUGCGCCCAAAACUUCCGUGCUUGAGGGAGACAGAGGUGAGCGGAACUAAGGGUGGAGCGGUGAAAUGCGUUGAUAUCCUUAGGAACACCGGUGGCGAAAGCGGCUCACUGGGUCUCUUCUGACGCUGAGGCACGAAAGCUAGGGGAGCAAACGGG
rnacentral:rRNA from 1 species